UACGUAGGGUGCAAGCGUUAAUCGGAAUUACUGGGCGUAAAGCGUGCGCAGGCGGUUCGUUAAGUCAGAUGUGAAAGCCCCGGGCUCAACCUGGGAACUGCAUUUGAAACUGGCGGGCUUGAGUGUGGCAGAGGGGGGUGGAAUUCCGCGUGUAGCAGUGAAAUGCGUAGAGAUGCGGAGGAACACCGAUGGCGAAGGCAGCCCCCUGGGCCAACACUGACGCUCAGGCACGAAAGCGUGGGGAGCAAACAGG
rnacentral:rRNA from 1 species